GGUAAGCCUUUUGGUUUUCAAGCUGUUAUCCCUCUCCCUCCUUCCAAAAUUGUUGUGUGCAAGAUUUUGGAUUUGGCUCAUUUAAAGUAAUGGUUGUGCUUUAGCGGGAAUAGUUCAGACUUCAGUGUUUUAAUCCUUGAGCAGCAUUAUCAUGAGCCGCAUGCAGUGCUUUUCUUUUGAACUCCAGUUUAUUUUAUCAAAUUUUCUCAAGUAUUCACUGAAUGGCAUUCCGUAAUUUAGAGGGGAAAAACUUUUAGUUUAAUUUUAUUUGCACUAAUUUCUUGUUACUGGCUGUAGAUGGAUUCUAAACUACCAAUUGACCUUUUGGAAAAUGUAAUGCAACUGGCAAUUGAAGGCUGCAAAGCAAUAGCAAACUACAUUAGAGAAAUUUUACUGGAGAACACAAAUCAACUCGAGUAUCGACGAGGUGUAUAGUUUUGUAGCAAAAGUAUUGUUUCUUAUUUGCUUCCAUUUAAUGCUUUCUAUUUGUUUCCUAUUUUACUGGAAACAUUUAUUUUGGUAUACGGUGCUGACUAAAACGUAAAUUGUAGUCUGUAGGAUUGGUUUCUCAUUUCUUCCAACUUGCCUUGUCGACUGAAGUAGCAAAUUUAUAAAUUAUUUUGAGUUCA